rnacentral:lncRNA from 1 species
GAUCCUAAUAUUUUUAAAGAGAAAUGGUGAGAUGAUUCUGGAGAAGACAAUGCAGGACGAGUCCCUCUCCAACUUUCGAGACUGUGGAUAAAGCCUGAUAAUGAAGAUGGAGGCAAGAAAUUGUGCACAUGGCCGGCACUUCCUCGUUCACUUAGAGAAAGAGUUGAACCUGUUGCUGCUGUUGCUGUUGAGUUACGAUGGGAGGACACUUGAGAAUACCUUGCAGCUGAGAAGGCACUUCAAAGGCGAGCUCUGAGUCUCAGAGUCUGUAAACACACCUCCAUCAUCCACUAACCCUGGUUUUGGCUGAUCCAAGCUCCAGCUAAGGAGAGCUGGUGAGAAAGUUUUACAUUCACCAUCACAAACCAAUGUAAUCACAAGGUCAUCUCCCAGAAACAAUGAGAAUAAACAGGGG